UACGUAGGGGGCAAGCGUUGUCCGGAUUUAUUGGGCGUAAAGAGCGUGUAGGCGGCCCGGUAAGUCCGCUGUGAAAGUCGGGGGCUCAACCCUCGAAUGCCGGUGGAUACUGUCGGGCUAGAGUGCGGAAGAGGCGAGUGGAAUUCCUGGUGUAGCGGUGAAAUGCGCAGAUAUCAGGAGGAACACCAAUGGCGAAGGCAGCUCGCUGGGACGUGACUGACGCUGAGACGCGAAAGCGUGGGGAGCAAACAGG
rnacentral:rRNA from 1 species